AGCCUUGACAGCAUUUUCAUCAACCGGAUAAAUGGACACUUUCGUUAAGAUUUCUGUGUGCUUAAUUAACUCAAAGACACAGAUUUGUGCUGACCCAUUUUUAUUUUCUGCAUUUCUAUAGUACGUCAUAGGCCAAGUUUUCCCACCAGAAUUGCAUAAGGUCAGAUUACACUUGAGCCCUGU